GACGGGGGUGGCGAGCGUUGCCCGGAAUUACUGGGCUUAAAGGGGGCGUAGGCGGCUGGGUGUGUCGGGUGUGUAAUCCUGGGGCUCAACUCCAGGGCUGCGCCCGAUACUACCCUGCUAGAGGGCGCCAGGGGGAGGCGGAACUCCCGGUGUAGCGGUGAAAUGCGUAGAUAUCGGGGGGAACACCGGAGGCGAAGGCGGCCUCCUGGGGCGCACCUGACGCUGAGGCCCGAAGGCUGGGGGAGCAAAGGGGAUUAGAACC
rnacentral:rRNA from 1 species